rnacentral:rRNA from 1 species
UACGGGGGGGGCAAGCGGUUGUUCGGAAUUACUGGGCGUAAAGGGCUCGUAGGCGGCCAACUAAGUCCGACGUGAAAUCCCAGCCUUAACCUGGGAACUGCGUCCGAUACUGGAUGGCUUGAAUUCGGGAGAGGGAUGCAGAAUUCCAGGUGUAGCGGUGAAAUGCGUAGAUAUCUGGAGGAAUACCGGUGGCGAAGGCGGCAUCCUGGACCGACAUUGACGCUGAGGAGCGAAAGCUAGGGGAGCAAACGGG